AAGGGGCAGGCAUAUUACAGAUGUAGCACCAGUAAUCAGCUGAGAUCUGUUGCGUUAGGAGGCAGCACUAUAGCAUAGCAGACUGCAGCUGAAUGUCAGACACUGUCUAUGGCAAGGUCCCCUGAGAAUACAGCGCCGUGUCCGGGCCGCCUGGCGUCAACGGUAACCACGGCAACUAGACGCGAUGUGGAUGACGUCAUCUUAGCGGGACCGGAAGCGAAGCAAACAGCCAGCGCGGCCGGGAUGGCGUCUGCACACUGAGCGGGAUUCUUAGGUAUUUAAGGUUUCACGGUGUAGCCCUCCCAAAGCCAAAUUACCCGCUCCGGUGUAAAGUGACGCUAAAGUACCCCCUCUACCAUGGACGGCCUACUUGUGAUGUGGACCUUCUCCACCACCAUGUUACAAAGACACCCCUCAGGUUUCAUGGAGUAGCCCUCCCAAAGAUAGAAGACCCAUCUCCGGUGUAAAGUGACGCUAAAGUACCCCCCUCUACCAUGACGGCCUACCUCAAGACCUACAAUACCCCCACAUCCCUUAAAUGCCUUAUUGUAAAUUACAUUUACUAUAUUUGAAAGAAAAAACACAAAACUUCUAAAUUUAACAUUUUAUUGAAGAAAAUUAA